UUAUAAGAGACAGCAGCAGCCACGGUAAUACGGAGGGUGCAAGCGUUAAUCGGAAUUACUGGGCGUAAAGCGCACGCAGGCGGUCUGACAAGUCAGAUGUGAAAUCCCCGGGCUUAACCUGGGAACUGCAUUUGAAACUGUCAGGCUGGAGUCUUGUAGAGGGGGGUGGAAUUCCAGGUGUAGCGGUGAAAUGCGUAGAGAUCUGGAGGAAUACCGGUGGCGAAGGCGGCCCCCUGGACAAAGACUGACGCUCAGGUGCGAAAGCGUGGGGAGCAAACAGGAUUAGAUACCCGCGUAGUCCCUGUCUCUUAUAC
rnacentral:rRNA from 1 species